GCCCUCGUAGCUUAAUAAAUAAAGCACCGGUCUUGUAAACCGAAGACGGAGGUUAAAUUCCUCCCCAGAGCC
rnacentral:tRNA from 1 species